CCUACGGGUGGCAGCAGUGGGGAAUAUUGCACAAUGGGCGAAAGCCUGAUGCAGCAACGCCGCGUGAAGGAAGAAGGGUUUCGGCUCGUAAACUUCUAUCAACAGGGACGAAAGAAAUGACGGUUCCUGAAUAAGCAGCCCCGGCUAACUACGUGCCAGCCGCCGCGGUACUACGUGGGGGGCCAGCGUUAUCCGGAAUUACUGGGGGGAAAGGGUGAGUAGGCGGCAUGGUAAGCCAGGAGUGAAAGCCUUGGGCUUAACCCGGGGAUUGCAUUUGGAACUAUCAAGCUAGAGUACAGGAGAGGAAAGCGGAAUUCCUAGUGUAGCGGUGAAAUGCGUAGAUAUUAGGAGGAACACCAGUGGCGAAGGCGGCUUUCUGGACUGAAACUGACGCUGAGGCACGAAAGCGUGGGGAGCGAACAGGAUUAGAUACCCUAGUAGUC
rnacentral:rRNA from 1 species